ACAACGAAGAGUUUGAUCCUGGCUCAGGAUGAACGCUAGCGACAGGCUUAACACAUGCAAGUCGAGGGGCAGCGGGGGAGAGGACUUGUCCUCUCCUGCCGGCGACCGGCGCACGGGUGAGUAACACGUAUGCAACCUGCCCAUUGCAGGGGGAUAAGCGGAAGAAAUUCCGUCUAAUACCGCGUAAUAUCCUCCGGGGACAUCCCCGGGGGAUCAAAGGAGAGAUCCGGCAAUGGAUGGGCAUGCGGCGCAUUAGCUAGUUGGCGGGGUAACGGCCCACCAAGGCGACGAUGCGUAGGGGUUCUGAGAGGAAGGUC
rnacentral:rRNA from 1 species